AUCCAAGUCCAGGCCUGCUGACUCCUAGUCCAGUGCUUGUGGUGCCUACUGGGCCCUGAACUUAGGGGUCUGGAGGCCUGGGUUUGAUUUCCACAG
rnacentral:pre_miRNA from 1 species